UGUUUCUUGAAUUUAUUAUAAGAAAUUAGGUCUGCCCUAUGAUUAAUAUUAAAUGGCCGCAGUAUAUUGACUGUGCAAAGGUAGCAUAAUCGUUUGUCUCUUAAUUGGGGUCUAGAAUGAAUGACUUAAUGAAAGAAAUACUGUCUUUUAAAUAAUAUUUGAAUUUUUAAGUUAGGUGAAGAUACUUAAAUGUUUUUAAAAGACGAGAAGACCCCGUCAAGUUUUAUGAUUAUUAUUAGUUUUAGGUAAUAUUUAUUGAUAUAUUCAUUUGGUUGGGGCAAUUGUUAAAUAGGAAAAACUUUAUUUAUUUUAUAUGUUUAUAAGCAGAUAUUUAAUUUAUGAUCCAAGAUUUUGAUUAAAAGUGUAAAUUACUGCGGGGAUAACAGCGUAAUUUUUCUUUAGAGUUCUUAUCGAUGGAAAAGAUUGCGACCUCGAUGUUGGAUUAAGAUACUUAUUUGGCGCAGACGUUUAAUAAGGUAGUCUGUUCGACUA
rnacentral:rRNA from 1 species